rnacentral:rRNA from 1 species
AAGGCAGCAGGCGCGCAAAUUACCCAAUCCCGACACGGGGAGGUAGUGACAAUAAAUACUGAUACAGGGCUCUUUUGGGUCUUGUAAUUGGAAUGAGUACAAUUUAAAUCCCUUAACGAGGAACAAUUGGAGGGCAAGUCUGGUGCCAGCAGCCGCGGUAAUUCCAGCUCCAAUAGCGUAUAUUAAAGUUGUUGCAGUUAAAAAGCUCGUAGUUGAACCUUGGGCCUGGCUGGCCGGUCCGCCUCACCGCGUGCACUGGUCCGGCCGGGCCUUUCCUCCUGGGGAGCCGCAUGCCCUUCACUGGGUGUGCCGGGGAACCAGGACUUUUACUUUGAAAAAAUUAGAGUGUUCAAAGCAGGCCUAUGCUCGAAUACAUUAGCAUGGAAUAAUAGAAUAGGACGUGUGGUUCUAUUUUGUUGGUUUCUAGGACCGCCGUAAUGAUUAAUAGGGAUAGUCGGGGGCAUCAGUAUUCAAUUGUCAGAGGUGAAAUUCUUGGAUUUAUUGAAGACUAACUACUGCGAAAGCAUUUGCCAAGGAUGUUUUCAUUAAUCAGUGAACGAAAGUUAGGGGAUCGAAGACGAUCAGAUACCGUCGUAGUCUUAACCAUAAACUAUGCCGACUAGGGAUCGGGCGAUGUUAUCUUUUUGACUCGCUCGGCACC